rnacentral:rRNA from 1 species
AGGACGAACGCUGGCGGCGUGCUUAACACAUGCAAGUCGAACGAUGAACUCACCUUCGGGUGGGGAUUAGUGGCGAACGGGUGAGUAACACGUGGGCAACCUGCCCCUGACUCUGGGAUAACUCCGGGAAACCGGAGCUAAUACCGGAUAUGAACACGAAGGACAUCCUUUGUGUUGGAAAGUUUUUCGGUCAGGGAUGGGCCCGCGGCCUAUCAGCUAGUUGGUGGGGUAAUGGCCCACCAAGGCGACGACGGGUAGCCGGCCUGAGAGGGCGACCGGCCACGACUGGGACUGAGACACGGCCCAGACUCCUACGGGAGGCAGCAGUGGGAAUAUUGCGCAAUGGGCGAAAGCCUGACGCAGCGACGCCGCGUGAGGGACGAAGGCCUUCGGGUUGUAAACCUCUUUCAGCAGGGACGAAGCGAAAGUGACGGUACCUGCAGAAGAAGCACCGGCCAACUACGUGCCAGCAGCCGC